rnacentral:rRNA from 1 species
GUGUGCAAGCGUUGAAUCGGAAUUACUGGGCGUAAAGCGUGCGCAGGCGGUUAUGUAAGACAGUCGUGAAAUCCCCGGGCUCAACCUGGGAACUGCGAUUGUGACUGCAUAGCUAGAGUACGGUAGAGGGGGGUGGAAUUCCGCGUGUAGCAGUGAAAUGCGUAGAUAUGCGGAGGAACACCGAUGGCGAAGGCAGCCCCCUGGACCUGUACUGACGCUCAUGCACGAAAGCAUGGGGAGCAAACAGGAUUAGAUACCCUGGUAGUCCAUGCCCUAAACGAUGUCAACUGGUUGUUGGGAAUUAACUUUCUCAGUAACGAAGCUAACGCGUGAAGUUGACCCCGCCCCUGGGGGGGAAGUACCGGGCCGCAAGGUUGAAACUCAAAGGAAUUGACGGGACCCGCACAAGCGGUGGAUGAUGUGGUUAAUUCGAUGCAACGCGAAAAACCUUACCCACCUUUUGACAUGGUUGGAAUUUGCCAGAGAUGGCUUAGUGCUCGAAAGAGAACCAAUACACAGGUGCUGCAUGGCUGUCGUCAGCUCGUGUCGUGAGAUGUUGGGUUAAGUCCCGCAACGAGCGCAACCCUUACCAUUAGUUGCUACGCAAGGGCACUCUAAUGGGACUGCCGGUGACAAACCGGAGGAAGGUGGGGAUGACGUCAAGUCCUCAUGGCCCUUAUAGGUGGGGCUACACACGUCAUACAAUGGCUGGUACAAACGGUUGCCACACCCGCGAGGGGGAGCUAAUCCGAGAAAACCAGUCGUAGUCCGGAUCGUAGUCUGCAACUCGACUGCGUGAAGUCGGAAUCAGUCUAGUAAUCGUGGAUCAGAAGUCACGGGAAGAAGUC